CUCGUUGAGAGCACAAGGACUCAAGUUCAACCCCCAGGUCCCCACCUGCAGGGGGAAGCUACAGGAGUAGUGGAACAGUGCUGCAGGUGUCUUUCUUGCUCCUCCCUCUCCAUCUCCCCCACUAGCUCAAUUUUUCUUUGUCUUAUCAAAUAAAAGAAAGGGGAAGAUGUCAGCUGGGAGCAGUGGAGCAAUAAUCCUGGUGGCAAAUAAUGUAAUAAUAAAUAAAACAUAAGCUAGUAUUUAACAAUGUACAGUAUCACCCCAAGUUUGCCCUCCUGCAUUUUAAUCUAAUGAAACAAGUCAGAACUAAAAGUCCUUUUCCCCAAUCUUUUU